rnacentral:misc_RNA from 1 species
CUGUCCGAGCGUCAUGCGUCACAUCGGACCCCCCCAGCUGGGGUCCGGAGUUGGGCGCCCGCGUCGCCCUCGACCUGAGAAGGCGCGGGGCUCAAAAUGAAACCCCCUUGGUGGAAGAUCACCCGGCGGAGCAGAGCGACCGAGGCAUGAUGCCACCGCUCGAAGCCCCGCCCCCCGAUCGACCCACGUCGGUCGGAGGCACCAACGCAGCGACUGACCUCGGAUCAGGUAGGGAUACCCGCUGAACUUAAGC